rfam:Salmo salar isolate Sally breed double haploid chromosome ssa29, whole genome shotgun sequence.
AGUCAAGGUAUUUGUAAGUCGCUCUGGAUAAGAGCGUCUGCUAAAUGACUUAAA